rnacentral:snoRNA from 1 species
AUCCAGAGCGCAGUGAUGCUAUUAUUCCAAGCACGUAACUGACCUUACUGUGCGGAGACUAACCCUUCUGAGUGCUCUGGAU